rnacentral:misc_RNA from 1 species
AACUGAUACUACCUGCGGGAACCUGCGGAGGGAUCAUUAGUGAACGCCCUCACGGGCUUAUAACUAUCCCAAACCUCUGUGAACCGUGCCCUUCGGGGCUAUUUUACAAACAUGGUGUAAUGAACGUCAUAUAUCAUAACAAAACAAAACUUUUAACAAUGGAUCUCU